CCUACAUAAUCAAAAGGUUGUAAUGUCAGCAGGUGAAAAAGAACAACUGGAGCCGACUAAAAGCUGAUGUAUGAUUUUCUCAAACCUUCAUAGAAAUUGACCGUCUCACGAACAGUCAACUCUCCCAUGUGUAGAUCAUGUUGGCUGACAUAAGCAGCUGAUCUCCGGGCCUCAAACUCGUCCAUUGUAUGCCCAUUGACCCCAUGCAAGAACGAAGCAAGUACCUCAAGACUUGGAGGGAGUGUUCCAGCUAAGGCCAGCAGCAGUGAGGUUUUCCCCGCACCAGGAGGACCCAAAAGCAGUGUCAUUCUGAAAACAUCAGGAAUACGG